rnacentral:rRNA from 1 species
GACGAACGCUGGCGGCGUGCCUAACACAUGCAAGUCGAGCGGGGUUGAAGCGAGAGGUAACUCGAACUUCUACCUAGCGGCGGACGGGUGAGUAACGCGUGGGCAACCUGCCUCAAGGUCUGGGAUAACAGCCCGAAAGGGCUGCUAAUACUGGGUAUGCUUGUGGCCUCGCAUGGGGCUAUGAGCAAAGGGGAAACCCGCCUUGAGAUGGGCCCGCGUCCCAUCAGCUAGUUGGUGAGGUAACAGCUCACCAAGGCGACGACGGGUAGCCGGCCUGAGAGGGUGACCGGCCACACUGGGACUGAGACACGGCCCAGACUCCUACGGGAGGCAGCAGUGGGGAAUUUUGGACAAUGGGCGAAAGCCUGAUCCAGCCAUGCCGCGUGCAGGAUGAAGGCCUUCGGGUUGUAAACUGCUUUGUACGGUAACGAAAGAACUCCUUCUAACUAAAGGGGUACCGACUGACGGUACCGUAAGGAAUAAAGCACCGGCUAACGUAACGUGCCAGCAGCCGCGGUAAACUCG